UACGCGGGGGGCGAGCGUUGUUCGGAAUUAUUGGGCGUAAAGGGUGCGUAGGCGGCCUGACAAGUCUGAUGUGAAAUCCCUGGGCUCAACCCAGGGCCUGCAUCGGAAACUGUCGGGCUUGAGUAUGGGAGAGGUGAGUGGAAUUUCCGGUGUAGCGGUGAAAUGCGUAGAUAUCGGAAGGAACACCUGUGGCGAAAGCGGCUCACUGGACCAUUACUGACGCUGAGGCACGAAAGCUAGGGGAGCAAACAGG
rnacentral:rRNA from 1 species